rnacentral:lncRNA from 1 species
UUCUUACUAGGGAUCAGUGGUCAAAAAAUUUCAUACAUACUCUCCAAACCACUUGAGUACCUAAGUUAAAUAGCGAAACAGUUGAGAGAGAAACAUGUGUGUGUCUGCAUCCAGUCUUUUUCAUUAGUCUUUUCCUUCCUUAAACGGAAGAUGUAUUUUUAAUUUUUCUUUGUUUAAUUUCAUUUAUUGCAUUUUACCUUAUCA